UGCAGAGGAGGGAGAGGAGAUCCAGUUUACUACACAGAGGACAGUGCUCCAGUUAUGAUUGUUCAGGCUGUUGUGAAAGUGCAGCAGAGUUGGUCUCAAAUGUUCACUGGUGAGACAAUAACCUUAAAAUGUGAAAUAAAGGAAGGUGAAAACAGGGAGAUGAAAU